AGUACCUUUAACUCAGUCCCGAGAGGCUGGCAAGGUAGCGUGAAUAACAAGUUAUAGAAGAGAAGAAAGAAUAGGACUUCCUAAUGCGCGGCUUUCUGUGACGAGAGCAGCGGUGGAGCGUACCCUAUCUCUUCAUGGCUUAUCACAAGCUCCUUGCGAUUUUUGCAAGGAGCUUUUUUUGU
rfam:Bacillus sp. FJAT-26390 scaffold1, whole genome shotgun sequence.